CUCUCGAUUUACACUUGGGUUUUACCCAAACAUGACGGUUUCCUGUUUACCACAACAAACGGAGGAGGUUCUCAUACAUAAAUAUGAAACAACGAGUUUUCCUCAUAUUCGUUCGUGAACUUAGACGUGCUCAAAUCUGAAUUAGGUACCUAUAUUUUUACGGUCGCACGAUUUAAAUAAAAUGAUUGUAGUUAUUGUGGCGACGCUAGUUUCCAUAACAAUGGCACAACGGCCGGGUUACAUUGCGGAACCUACCUACCCCAAAUUGGCUAGUAGAUUUCGGAAUGACAACGAAGAAACAA